GACGAACGCUGGCGGCGUGCCUAAUACAUGCAAGUAGAACGCAGUUGCGAACGGGUGAGUAACGCGUAGGUAACCUGCCUCAUAGCGGGGGAUAACUAUUGGAAACGAUAGCUAAUACCGCAGACUGUGAGAUGGACCUGCGUUGUAUUAGGUAGUUGGUGAGGUAAAGGCGCACCAAGGCGACGAUACAGAGCCGACCUGAGAGGAUGAUCGGCCAGCCGUGGACGGAGACACGGCCCAGAAUGCUUCGGGAGGCAGCAGUAGGGAAACUUCGGGAAUGGGCGGAAGUCUGACCGCGACACGCCGCGUGAGUGAAGAGGGUUUUCGGAUCGUAAAGCUCUGUUGUUAGGGAAGCGGUAGCUAACCAGAAAGGGACGGCUAACUACGUGCCAGCAGCCGCGGUAAUAC
rnacentral:rRNA from 1 species